rnacentral:rRNA from 1 species
AUUGAACGCUGGCGGCAGGCCUAACACAUGCAAGUCGAACGAGUGGCGGACGGGUGAGUAAUGUCUGGGAAACUGCCCGAUGGAGGGGGAUAACUACUGGAAACGGUAGCUAAUACCGCAUACCAUCGGAUGUGCCCAGAUGGGAUUAGCUUGUAGGUGAGGUAACGGCUCACCUAGGCGACGAUCCCUAGCUGGUCUGAGAGGAUGACCAGCGACACUUGAACUGGGAAACGGUCCCGACUCCUACGGGAGGCAGCAGUGGGGAAUAUUGCACAAUGGGCGAAAGUCUGAUGCAGCCAUGCCGCGUGUAUGAAGCAGGUCUUCGGGUUGUAAAGUACUUUCCGCGGGGAGGCGUUACCCGCAGAAGAAGCACCGGCUAACUCCGUGCCAGCAGCCGCGGUAAUAC